rnacentral:rRNA from 1 species
AGAACGAACGCUGGCGGCAUGCCUAAUACAUGCAAGUCGAACGAAGGCUUCGGCCUUAGUGGCGCACGGGUGCGUAACGCGUGGGAAUCUGCCCCUUGGUUCGGAAUAACAGUUGGAAACGACUGCUAAUACCGGAUGACGACGAAAGUCCAAAGAUUUAUCGCCAAGGGAUGAGCCCGCGUAGGAUUAGCUAGUUGGUGAGGUAAAGGCUCACCAAGGCGACGAUCCUUAGCUGGUCUGAGAGGAUGAUCAGCCACACUGGGACUGAGACACGGCCCAGACUCCUACGGGAGACAGCAGUAGGGAAUAUUGGACAAUGGGACGAAAGCCUGAUCCAGCAAUGCCGCGUGAGUGAGUGAAGGCCGUUAGGUUGUAAAGUCUACUUUACCCGAGUA